rnacentral:rRNA from 1 species
UACAGAGGUCUCAAGCGUUGUUCGGAUUCAUUGGGCGUAAAGGGUGCGUAGGCGGCGCGGUAAGUCGGGUGUGAAAUCUCGGGGGCUUAACUCCGAAACUGCAUUCCGAUACUGCCGUGCUUGAGGACUGGAGAGGAGACUGGAAUUUACGGUGUAGCGGUGAAAAUGCGUAGAUAUCGUAAGGAAGACCAGUGGCGAAGGCGGGGUCUCCUGGACAGUUCCUGACGCUGAGGCACGAAGGCCAGGGGAGCAAACGGG